rnacentral:rRNA from 1 species
AUUGAACGCUGGCGGCAGGCCUAACACAUGCAAGUCGAACGAGUGGCGGAAGGGUGAGUAAUGUCUGGGAAACUGCCCGAUGGAGGGGGAUAACUACUGGAAACGGUAGCGAAUACCGCGUAACAUCGGAUGUGCCCAGAUGGGAUUAGCUUGUAGGUGAGGUAACGGCCAACCUAGGCGACGAUCCCUAGCUGCUUGGAGAGGAAGACCAGCCGCACUGUAACUGAUACACAGUCCAGAGUCCUACGGGAUGGAUCAGUGGGUAAUAGUGCACACUGGGCGAAAGCCUGAGGCAGCCAUGCCGCGUGUAUGAAGAAGGCCGUCGGGUUGUAAAGUACUUUCAGCGGGGAGGCGUUACCCGCAGAAGAAGCACCGGCGAACUACGUGCCAGCAGCCGCGGUAAUAC